rnacentral:rRNA from 1 species
AACGAACGCUGGCGGCAGGCUUAACACAUGCAAGUCGAACGCGUCCUUCGGGACGAGUGGCAGACGGGUGAGUAACGCGUGGGAACGUACCCUUUGGUUCGGAACAACGCCGGGAAACUGGCGCUAAUACCGGAUAAGCCCUUCGGGGGAAAGAUUUAUCGCCAGAGGAUCGGCCCGCGUUAGAUUAGCUUGUUGGUGAGGUAAUGGCUCACCAAGGCUACGAUCCUUAACUGGUCUGAGAGGAUGAUCAGUCACACUGGAACUGAGACACGGUCCAGACUCCUACGGGAGGCAGCAGUAGGGAAUAUUGGACAAUGGGGGCAACCCUGAUCCAGCGACGCCGCGUGAGUGACGAAGGCCUUCGGGUCGUAAAGCUCUGUUGCAAGGGAAAAACAAAAUGAUGGUACCUUGCUAGAAAGGAUCGGCUAACUUCGUGCCAGCCGCCGCCGUAAUAC